rnacentral:rRNA from 1 species
CUGGAAACGGGUGGUAAUGCCGGAUGUUCCAGUUGAUCGCAUGGUCUUCUGGGAAAGCUUUCGCGGUAUGGGAUGGGGUCGCGUCCUAUCAGCUUGACGGCGGGGUAACGGCCCACCGUGGCUUCGACGGGUAGCCGGCCUGAGAGGGCGACCGGCCACAUUGGGACUGAGAUACGGCCCAGACUCCUACGGGAGGCAGCAGUGGGGAAUAUUGCACAAUGGGCGCAAGCCUGAUGCAGCGACGCCGCGUGAGGGAUGGAGGCCUUCGGGUUGUAAACCUCUUUUAUCGGGGAGCAAGCGAGAGUGAGUUUACCCGUUGAAUAAGCACCGGCUAACUACGUGCCAGCAGCCGCGGUAAUACGUAGGGUGCAAGCGUUAUCCGGAAUUAUUGGGCGUAAAGGGCUCGUAGGCGGUUCGUCGCGUCCGGUGUGAAAGUCCAUCGCUUAACGGUGGAUCCGCGCCGGGUACGGGCGGGCUUGAGUGCGGUAGGGGAGACUGGAAUUCCCGGUGUAACGGUGGAAUGUGUAGAUAUC